rnacentral:rRNA from 1 species
GUAGUUAACACCUGCACUAUUUGUACGUUACCUACAGAAGAAGACACCGGCUAACUCCGUGCCAGCAGCCGCGGUAAUACGGGAGGGUGCGAGCGUUAAUCGGAAUUACUGGGCGUAAAGACGCAUGCAGGCGGCCUGUUAAGUACAGAUGUAGAAAGGACCCGGGGACCGUUUAACCCUACCGGUAAGUUAGCAUUUAGUAAACGUAGGCGAGGCGUAGAGUCUUGUAGAGGGGGGUAGGAAUUUCAGGUGUAGCGGUGAAAUGCGUAGAGAUCUGAAGGAAUACCAGUGGCGAAGGCGGCCCCCUCGGACAAAGACUGACGCUCAGAUGCGAAAGCGUGGGGAGCAAACAGGAUUAGAUACCCUGGUAG